UCCCAUGUGGUCUAUUGAUUAGGAUUUGUGGCUUUCAUCCACACGGCCCGGGUUCGAUUCCCGGCAUGGGAA